GAUGAACGCUAGCUACAGGCUUAACACAUGCAAGUCGAGGGACCGGCGCACGGGUGAGUAACACGUAUCCAACCUGCCCUUUACUCGGGGAUAGCCUUUCGAAAGAAAGAUUAAUACCCGAUAUAAAGGAUGGGGAUGCGUUCCAUUAGGUUGUUGGGGAGGUAACGGCUCACCAAGCCUGCGAUGGAUAGGGGUUCUGAGAGGAAGGUCCCCCACAUGGGAACUGAGACACUGUCCAAACUCCUACGGGAGGCAGUGGGGAGGAAUAUUGUUCAAUGGGCGCUAGCCUGAAGCUGACAAGGAGCGUGAAGGAUGAAGGGGUAUGGGUCGUAAACUUCUUUUAUAUAAGAAUAGGUAUUAUAUUAAUAAGGAUCGGCUAACUCCGUGCCAGCAGCCGCGGUAAUAC
rnacentral:rRNA from 1 species